UACUAUACCUUUCACUUUUGAUUUCAUUCAGCUGGGGUCCCACUCUCACUUUGCCACUCCCUCUGCUAAACAUAGAGGUCUGGGCUUUCAAGCUAGGGAUCAAGAGAAAAUGAUUUGUCACAGAGAAGAAGAGUGAAAGAAAGAGAUUCGGAGAUAAUGUGGUACCUGAGCAAGGGAGCUGGACUUGGAGUCAGCAGCCCUCAGUUUGGAUUCUGUCUCCUGGGGUUCAGUGAAGGAAUUAGACUAGAUAGUCUCCAAGGUGCUUUCUAGAUCUAUUCUUGAUUCUGUGAUCCUGGCAAAUUUUCUCACUUUGCCCUGUGCUGGGUUAGCUCAAAUGAAAGAAGUCAGGGACCCAUGCCAUCACCCAGACUAGGCAAACCUCCUGAGCUAUAAUUGUCAGCAGACUCCAACUUCAUUCCCUGUGCUUUGAGUCCUAGAUCCUGAGUUCCUCCAAACUUUCUACUUACACUUCUAAUGAUACAAUCAAUAAGCAUAUACUCCUUGUCCUAUUCAGAGGGGAAUAAAAUGAGUAAAAACAAAUAUAUCCCGUACAUUUCCAAGAAUUCCUCCACCAGAUUGAUCCAAUGUCUAGGAGACUUCUGGAAUCUGAAAGAAUGCUCUCCUUCAAAAUUCUACCAUGAUGAAAAGAAAAAGAAAAACACAAUUCUUGUAUAAAAAUCAUAGUCAAAUAAAAGAAAUCCAGAUAUCUGCCAAAAA